rnacentral:lncRNA from 1 species
ACACGUAGGUGAGGUUCGAAAAAGAGACGAAUUACAAUUUACAAAGAAAACGGAAUUAUAACUAUUUUGUAAACGUACACCACGUACACCUGGCUACACCAUAAUUAGGACAACAAAUAAAACUACUGAAAUGGGGGCUUCGUUUGAACUCUGAUCGCACCUCUUUAUAGAUAGCUCACUACCCACUCCAUGCUGUUUGCCAGAUUUGAGGCCUGAACCAGCCAUCAUAAUAAAAGAUAUGCAAGUUCUUAUUGUGCUGGUAAUGAACUGUCAUUACCAACAAUCUCAGGAUCAUAGUUCGGAUAAGCAGCAUCCCGUUCCAUUGGAGAAACUACCCAGGAAGUCAAUCGAGUUACGGAUCUCUUCUUCCCCCUUUCUAUAAAUGUCCUCGUGUACACCCAUGCGAGUGUGGGGGUAUUCACGAGGACUCCCUUUUACCUAUCCCGUCUGGUGUAAUUCAACUCUUCAGCAGAUGGAUGGAGCCACUGUAGAUGCCUGGCUGUAUUUCCCAGGCAUAGAGGAAGCAAAUGCAUCUUGAAAAAAGGCCUGGAAUAAGAUGGAGGAUGCGGUGAUCGUUCAUCAUUCCUCGGAUCAUCAACUUCACCGCCAUCUUAUAAAUAGCCUAGUCAUCGCGUUGGCGCCUCCGUCUUCUGGCUGUCGUCCCUACCACAUUCAAAGGUCGUCAUCGUUCGUCGCUGUCGCCCUUCUCGCGUGUGCGAACAUAACGUCUCUGCACCUGGCGAUUCUUCCACGAGUGCCAGCUAUACUACAGCCCUGUAUAGUGGACGGCGAAUGGAUAUAGGCCGAGCGACGAUCAACGGAAUCGGAUAGUAGAUUGUCCGCACACAUAUGGACCAACCACGUGAUAUUAUCAUCACUUUUGAUGAUAAAUCGAGUGAUGUUGAGCGUCUGAGGCAUUUCUGGAGUGUGCCCAGCGUAAGCCCACUAAGCCCUUAUGUAAGAGAAUAGGUUAUAGUUCUAUUUGGCUUUAAGGGAACGAUUUUUUCUUUAGGUAGGCCUAAGUUUCUUUUUUAACCAAGAAAUUUGUCGUCAUUAUUUUGCAUUUGACGCUAAAAUAACACAUGAGUAUAAUCUAGUAAGCAACGGUACCCCCGCCGUUAGUUUCUGUUCCAGUUUCUGUCCACUAGGAGCUAUCGCUUACUUCCGGUGUACUUUUAGAAAAUGUUGUGUCUUAAGGUUUGGCCGCCGGAAGUUAUUGCAGCAUCAUCGACGAUUGCGCUUCAUCGAUUCAGGUCGGAGCAGAUGAGAUCUCAAUUAACAACUACGAGGAACCCAUUCUGGCCGUCUGUGCUGGAGGUUGCGGAGGCGGCGAGGCCCCAGGACCAACAUGACGGGCGUCAAGUGACCAGCGGACAUUGGUCUUCGUAAAGAAAUAGACGGCCCCGGUCAAGAUUUGUUCAUCCGCUGUGGAAUAGAUGCAGCCAUUCAUCCUGAGUGCAUUCAAGAUUUCCACUUACGCCAUAGAUCUCCAGGUAUGAAUUUUUUCACGGAGAAUGAUGUGAUAGACUCAUAAAAGAUUUCUGAAUUUUUUUUUACUGAUGAAAUCAUUGUAGCCUUGUAGGCAAUUUCCCAUUACGACAAGUACAACAGGAGCACCGGAGACAGUCAAAACAAAAGUUCAAAAUAUAAGUCUUGUUUAUAAAUUGAAUUCUUGAUUGUUAGAUAUAUUAGGCCCUAGAUUUUAACCUUUUUAAAAAAAGAUGAAACCUUUUUUGUUAUUAUAAGCUAAUGUUUAGAACAAAGUUGACAGUGUGUCCGUCAUGUGGCUUCGCAAAACGUGUUCAGAGUUUGUAGGUUUGUGCGUCAGGCUCCGGUUUUUUUAUAGCUAUACUUCCUAGUUCGUUCCUACCACAUUUAUUGCCUGCCUACCUCCCUUUCAUUCGUUUUAUGAAGGUAGAGAUAAAACGAAGUUCCGCGGAUCUCUAAAAAUCAAACGCCUUGGCAUUGAAAACUUACUGACUUAUUUUUUAAAUUUAGAAACGCCAGUAAACAUGAGUUAACCGAGUCGGUCGCCCUCCCGGACGGCCGCACCCCAGUCGUCUACUACAGGGCAGACAGCAACGGAUACGAGGCUACCUACUUUUCAUAUUCGGCCCCGGCCUACCAAGCCCCGUCUGCACCAGUCUACAGGGUCACUCACCAGCCACUCCUGCCCGUCCUAGUGCCCUACGUCCCUCCUCGUGCUCCUACUUAUGGAUUUGUUGCAGCACCUUCCUAUCGGGAUU